CGGGUGAGUAAUGUCUGGGAAACUGCCUGAUGGAGGGGGAUAACUACUGGAAACGGUAGCUAAUACCGCAUGACGUCGCAAGACCAAAGAGGGGGACCUUCGGGCCUCUUGCCAUCGGAUGUGCCCAGAUGGGAUUAGCUAGUAGGUGGGGUAACGGCUCACCUAGGCGACGAUCCCUAGCUGGUCUGAGAGGAUGACCAGCCACACUGGAACUGAGACACGGUCCAG
rnacentral:rRNA from 1 species